rnacentral:rRNA from 1 species
AUUGAACGCUGGCGGCAGGCUUAACACAUGCAAGUCGAGCGAGCGGCGGACGGGUGAGUAAUGUCUGGGAAACUGCCUGAUGGAGGGGGAUAACUACUGGAAACGGUAGCUAAUAACGCAUACCAUCAGAUGUGCCCAGAUGGGCUUAGCUAGUAGGUGGGGUAAUGGCUCACCUAGGCGACGAUCCCUAGCUGGUCUGAGAGGAUGACCAGCCACAUGGGAACUGAGACACGGUCCGGACUCCUACGGGAGGAAGCAGUGGGGAAUAUUGCACAAUGGGGACAAGCUUGAUGCAGCCAGGCCGGUUGUGUGAAGAAGGCCUUCGGGUUUUAAAGCACUUUCAGCGAGGAGGCGGUACUCGCAGAAGAAGCACCGGCUAACUCCGUGCCAGCAGCCGCGGUAAUAC